GAUCAGACUCACCUUCAGGCUGCUGUGUCUUCUGUCCUGUGUUCCUGCAGCAGCUGGAGGCUGAUUGGCUUCCACCUUCGUUUACCAGAUUAAAAGCAGCUGCUCUCAGACAGGAGUCCAGUCUUUUGUGUUUCCAUCAAGUGGAAACUGCUGUGGUGUCAUGUGAAGGAGAUCUGGGACACAAACGUCCUGAGGACACUCUCAGAGAGCUCCUAACUCAGCCUAGACACUUUUAGUGAGGAGUUGUAGCUGCAGGUGUGGUUGACCCUGUUGACCCUGUUGACCCUGUUGACCCUGGGAUCAGAUGUGAGAGACUUUCUUUGUGUGUGUGUGUGUGUGUGUGUGUGUGUUAGGUGCUGACGCCCACCCUGAUGGUGACGGCAGGUAAAGACCCGGUGCUGCUGCCGGCCUUGUCCAAAGGGAUGGAGGACUUGAUCCCGAACCUGAGACGAGGACACAUAGAGGAGUGUGGACACUGGAUUCAGAUGGACAAGCCGGCGGAGACAAACAGCAUCUUGAUUUCAUGGCUGAAAGAAACACUGAAGGAGGCGGCAGGCGGCGGCGUGGGCUCCAAACUGUGACAGCGCCACAGCAAAGUUGAUCUCUGUCUGAACAUCGCUUUCCUCUUUUACUAUAUAAUAAUCCCAAAUGUAACAUUUUGUUGUUUCGGACUGAAAGACGUCACCUUUGGUUGGGUAAAGUUUGAUGGACAUUUUCUAACAUUUCUGUCGCAGUAAUCAAUAAUUAAUAAGUCAGAUCAAUAACAGCAGGGUAACUGAUGAUGAAAAAUGUUGUUCUGUUAAUGAACCUUGAAAACAUGUUAAAGUUCUACGUCACUAAA